AGAGGCCUCCUGAGCAGAAGGGAGCUGCCCUGGGCUAGGGACUUACACCUGCAGAGCCCAGCCUGCAAACAGCCAGUUGCAGAACCCAACACCAAGAGGGGAAGGGGAGAUUAGCAAUGCAGGGACCAGGUGAGCAGGAAGCCCAGUCAGCUGAUCAAAGGGGGGCAACCUGGCUUGGAUAUAAACUCUCCUCUAGGGUAGAGGAGGGGGGACUGGCCCCUGCAGCUGAGAAGGAUGGAGCCCUUCAGGGAGACAAGGAGGAAGGCAAGCCCAACAAGAGGGUCCUUGACCCAAGAGGAAGAGCCUCAGGUGAUGGAAAGAGAGUGAAUGUGUGCAUAGGAAACUGGAGAUUUUUUGUGUUAACUCUGGAAGGAUCCUGAGGAGUGAGUGCACCCAGAGGACUGAGAAUGGCUUAUGUUAACCCAGGAAGGGUCCUGGGCAGUAAGUGCACCCAGAGGAUUGGGGGCUGUUUAUGUUGGCCCAAGAGGGCCUGGGGGAGUGGGUGCACCCUGAGGAUCUAGGUGGGAGGGAACCCUCCCAGGGGCUGAAGCCCCAGCCAAAGACAGAGGGGCAAGGGAAAGAAAAAGUUGGAUCCCCACGUAGGCUAGCCAGACUAGUAGCCUAAGGAUGGGUAGAGGAGGAAGUAAGGCACCAAUGGCUGGAUUCCAGGCACCCAUAGACAGCCUCCUAGAACAGCAUGUUAAUUGUACAUUAUGGUGCGACAGGGGGAGAGAGGAGCUAAAUUAGGGUGCCAGGAUAGGCAGACAGGUGCAGCACAGUCACCAGGGCAUGCCACAACCACCCCUGGGAGUGAACCCCAUUACAGUUCCCAGUGCAAGGGCCCUAGCUGAUGGGCUGGGUGCUGGAGAGCAGGGUGGGAAAGGAGUGUCUCAUUUUCAGUAGACACUUCCAUCUAAUCGUGUAGUUAGAGGAAGGCAAAAGCUUUCCCCUCAUCCUAUCCUAGCUAGACAGGUCAGGGCCCCAAAGUACCGAGUAUGAGCAGAGGGGAGAAAGAUCCCUCAGAACACGGGCCUCGGCUGCAACACAAUCCCAGGCUGGUGCUUCUUUGUCAGCACUGAGGGGUAGCACAGUGGUGACAGAUGGUAGUAGAAACACCCAAACUCCCGAUGACAGCUCCCACAGGGAGAGCUGCACCUCCAAGGAAUUUUGGGCUGGAAAAUCCGAAUGUAGAAAAUGUCUGGAGAAAAUGGAAAUAAAUGCAGGUGGCACAAGUAGUGCGCAUUAGUGUGCCAGGCUACCAAGAGUGUUUGGGCGUGAGCUACUGAGGCUCCAGGAAGGAAGUUGUCCAGCAGUCACACAGGAGCAGUGGGAGACUGUGUUUGCCUCGCAGCUUUGCCACUGCUGUGCCAUUUGCACCUUGGUAUGUCACCUGGGCCAAGGUUUUCACAUGUGGUCAAUGAUCUGGGAUGCCCUGCUUGAGACACCUGAAUGGGUCUAAUCCCUCAGAGAGCAGGUUCUAUGUACCUUAAAGGGCAUCAGAUCAGGAAGUCUGAAACAGUAGCUGCCUUUGGGCAUUUUUAACUUCUCUUCUCUCCUUUGAUCUGUGGGUAUGUGACAUGGGCCUGAUGCUUUGUAGCUGACAGGUGUAAAGAGAGACUGAUGUGGAGGAGGAAAGUGGCAUGAGUGCAGUGGGUCAUGGCAAGAGAAAGAUGCUGGAGGGACAGUGACCUGCUGGUUUGGGCAUGGUGAUGGCACUACAGCUUUCAGCUACAAGGAGGAUACGAAGGACCAGGGAUCAACAGUCACUUCUCAGGCUAGGCUCCAUGAAAUAGACGCCUGGAAGUUCUAAGCCAGGCCAACUGCUGCCAUCCAGAGGCAAAAGCAGAGAUCCCUGCGUGCACUGGCUAGCUUGCCUUGCUAUAUAUUUUUAUCAUCAUCCUGUACACAGAAGCUUCUCCUUUCUCUCUCAUCAAAGCUCCCUUUCCAGGUCUCCAGGGAGAGCUGGGUGUCUGCAGGAGCGACUGCACUGCAACACUGACAUGUAGAAAUGAAGCCUCGCCGUUGAAAACUAAGAUCUUACUUGAAGCAAAGGUACCAAGACUGUGCGGGCUCCCCCUUGGCCUGGAGCAGCCGUUUUUUCCUGGGUAACAGGGCAUUUUGGUUUCCUUGUCACCCAGUCCUGGAACUCGCUCUGCCUUCUGGAUGAGCUCUAGGCUUUUGCACACUCCCCAUACACUGCUGCACCCAGCCCUCGCCCUUGUGAGAAGAAAAUGCAACCCGUUUCAACAACAAGAGAGCAGUUUUUGUUCGUAGAGCUUGUUCCUGAUCUCCAGCCGAUCUCAGCAUACACAGAGCCCUUUCAGCACAGAGAAAGGAGGGUGAAGGCAUUCAGGAGAGCAGAGAACAAUAAGCUCCAUUGAUGCUCUCUGAAGACCCAGAAGCUACUGCUGUGUAGAGAUUGGACUCAGAGGGGAGUACAAAGCACUUAGGGUAAAAAUCUGCCUCCAUGCAGAAGACCUGCAAGUAAGUUCUCAAAGCAGUCAGCGGUGGGUUGGAAUGGUCUGAUCAUUCCUGUUAGCUCUCCAAAACACUCGCUGGUUUCAGCUGGAGCUGGAGCAGGUCCUACUCAAAGAGGACAAGAUUAGUUCAUUUGUCUGCCUGUGUUGAUCCUCCCGUUUGGGAUAUGCCAUCUCUCCUUCAUCUGUUUUUCAUUCUCUCUCUUUGCUCUGUUCUAGCCAAGGGAUUUUCAUCUUCACAAGGCAAAACUUGUCAUAUAAACUAAGACAAGGCCAAGUAGGGUCCUUAAUUUUAACUUUUAUUUUAUUCUCACCAAGAUUUGACUCCUUCCUCCCAAGUGUUAGCUCAAGCAACUGACCUCUGAUGAGGAUCUAUAUGCUGCCACUUUUUUCAGAUGCUGUCUGUUGGCAGCAAGGCCUCUUUAAGCAGGAGCUUCCAAUCAAACCCAUAGACUAUGCUCCAAUUCAGUGCAACCCCAGCAAAUUUAGAUCCCAAAAAUUUGGCAGGCCAGUCUGCCUGGGGCCAAAUGUCACGUUUAAAAUGCCAUUCCUAGAAUGUAAUUUUCCUUGAAAACAGAUGAACAGUAAAACAAUAAAACUGAAACAUUCCAUUGAGUUCAUAGGUUUUUUCUGUAUUCUCUCUCUGCAACAGUUCUAGCAGGUUUCCUGCCAGGGAAGGGUCAGAAGUGGGGCAUUUUGAGAGAAUAUUUUCAGGAAAUGAAACUUGAAUUGAUAAUUUUGAAUAGCUUCUAUGGAAACGUGAUUCUAAGAGUGACAUAUAUCCAAUCAGGGAGCAGAAAUACUCCACGUGAUCUGCAUAGCCAGCCUGGACUGCUCAAACUAAAUUUACUUUGAGGAAACAGAGCAUUAGCAACCUGCAGAGUGAGAUACAAAGAUUUUUAAAACCCUAAGGACCACUAUAAUCAGUCUAUCCUCAAGCCAAGCACAGGCCACCAAAUUUUACCUGGGAAUCCUUGCAGUCAGGAGAUUUGAGGAGGAGGCUGAUUUGGGGUACCCCCAGACAAUGGAGGUAUGGAUUCUGUUUGAGAUUAUGAACUUGUAGCAAAACCUCCAGUUUUUCUUUUCUUUUCUGUUUUAAAAUACACUCCCUCCCCUUCCCCUAACCAUUUCUGACUUUCUCUCUGCCCUCUCUAUCCCUAAUAAGUGAUAGUGCU